UCAUGAUGUGCUGUUAUAAAAAAGAAUACACUUUGUAAGUAAGAGUCACUUCACAUCAUCACCGGUGAUUACUUUCAUAUAAUAGCACAACAGAAUAAUAUCAAAUAUAUCAAAUGUGGUCUUGUGUUUGUGUUUUUACCUUACAGUUCUGACAACACUCUCCUUCUGCACACUUUGAGCCCUUUGUGAGUUUGCACGUGGUGGCAUUGCAGCACGGGUCCACAGUCACAGUCUUCUCCAAUCUCUCGGAAGCCGUUGCCGCAAACUGCAGGCUGGAGCAGGUCUUUGGCUUGCGGUUUAUUGAGGAGACACUCAGGGCUCCGUGUGUUCAGGAACCGCUCGUAAUUGGCCAAGCUGCAAUUGCUGAAGAGCUGUGGGAUGUUGUAGCUACAAAAACAAACAGAGCUCAAAAAAUGCUGCUGGUAUCACAUCCGGAUUGAAAGGGCUUUGUGAAUACAGCUAGUAGAAGAUUCUGUGCACAGGGUGCCGACGAACGCCAGGCCCACUGUCGCCCCAUCAAAGUCGAUUUCACUGAAGUAACGACAGAAACCAAGUAAUAUGCUUUUUUCAUUCAACGUCAUUUGUGUAAUUUAUUUCUUUUUCACACUCACGUGAUCAGAUGAGCGUUGUCGUGCUUAAUCCGCUUUACCAGAUCUUCAUUUCUCCACUUUGUAAAAGCACCCAGAGUGUCACUAGAAGGUGUAGUCACCGCAAUCUUAUCACUAUCAGUCCAAACCUCCAGACCAAUCAGAGCGAUGAAAGUGUUCAGCGGUUUAUAGACCUGUCACAAAACAAAGAACAGUAAAAUACAUAAUAAAAACAAAUAAAGUAAAUCUUCCAACAAAAUCUUUCCAGUAGUUAACUUAAAUCCAAACAUAACUUGAAUCUGAUUGGUCAGAUUAGCGAAUGAUUUCUUGACAGUGAACUCUUGGAAUAACUUCUUAGAAGAUGCACCCUUUAUGAUUAAAUCAGUUUUAUCGAAUUUACUUAAACAUGAAGUCAGAGACUCACAACAUUAACAAAGUUGAGAAUAUCGAAGAUCUUCUGUCUCACUUUGGUGAUGUUCCUGUCCAGCUUCAAAUACUGUGUGAGAGCAAAUCAAACAUCUGGUCAGUCAGAGACAAAAUUACAGCAUUAAAAAAAGAUCUGUUUCUUUGUAUUUACUUGUGAAUGAUAUGUUUAUUUAGUAUACUAAAUAUCUUGCUACUAUAUGUACAGUAUAUGUUACUAAUACUAACCUAGUAAAUGUUAUUUAAUCCAAAAUUAUGGCUUAUACUGUGUGUGGAGUAAGAUUGUGUUGUUUGUGUUUGUGUACAUUAUUGUUUAGUUUUGUUUCUAUAGUCAGUCCUGCCUCUGUACUGUCAUUGGUGGGUUAUCCCAUUGUGUCCACCUGUUCUGUGUUUGACCCUUGACUGGUUUAUCUAUGAAUUCUCUGCUGUAGCUUUGCCACAUCAUGAAGUCUUGCCAGCAUUAAAUCCAAUUAUUUUUAUCCA